rnacentral:rRNA from 1 species
UGGGGAAUAUUGGACAAUGGGCGAAAGCCUGAUCCAGCCAUGCCGCGUGUGUGAAGAAGGUCUUCGGAUUGUAAAGCACUUUAAGUUGGGAGGAAGGGCAUUAACCUAAUACGUUAGUGUUUUGACGUUACCGACAGAAUAAGCACCGGCUAACUCUGUGCCAGCAGCCGCGGUAAUACAGAGGGUGCAAGCGUUAAUCGGAAUUACUGGGCGUAAAGCGCGCGUAGGUGGUUUGUUAAGUUGGAUGUGAAAUCCCCGGGCUCAACCUGGGAACUGCAUUCAAAACUGACUGACUAGAGUAUGGUAUAGGGUGGUGGAAUUUCCUGUGUAGCGGUGAAAUGCGUAGAUAUAGGAAGGAACACCAGUGGCGAAGGCGACCACCUGGACUAAUACUGACACUGAGGUGCGAAAGCGUGGGGAGCAAACA